CACUCCUGCGGGAGGCAGCAGUGGGGAAUUUUGGACAAUGGGCGAAAGCCUGAUCCAGCAAUGCCGCGUGUGUGAAGAAGGCCUUCGGGUUGUAAAGCACUUUUGUCCGGAAAGAAAUCCUUGGCUCUAAUACAGUCGGGGGAUGACGGUACCGGAAGAAUAAGCACCGGCUAACUACGUGCCAGCAGCCGCGGUAAUACGUAGGGUGCGAGCAUUAAUCGGAAUUACUGGGCGUAAAGCGUGCGCAGGCGGUUUGCUAAGACCGAUGUGAAAUCCCCGGGCUCAACCUGGGAACUGCAUUGGUGACUGGCAGGCUAGAGUAUGGCAGAGGGGGGUAGAAUUCCACGUGUAGCAGUGAAAUGCGUAGAGAUGUGGAGGAAUACCGAUGGCGAAGGCAGCCCCCUGGGCCAAUACUGACGCUCAUGCACGAAAGCGUGGGGAGCAAACAGGAUUAGAUACCCCGGUAGUCCCAG
rnacentral:rRNA from 1 species